rnacentral:rRNA from 1 species
CACGUAGGGGGCGAGCGUUGUUCGGAAUUACUGGGCGUAAAGGGCAUGUAGGCGGCUUGGUAAGCCUGGCGUGAAAGACUGCAGCUUAACUGUAGGGAUGCGUUGGGAACUGCUUAGCUUGAGUUACGGAGAGGGAGCUGGAAUUCCUGGUGUAGGGGUGAAAUCUGUAGAUAUCAGGAAGAACACCGAUGGCGAAGGCAAGCUUCUGGUCGAUAACUGACGCUGAGGUGCGAAAGUGUGGGGAUCAAACAGG